AGUGAACGCUGGCGGUAGGCCUAACACAUGCAAGUCGAACGGCAGCACAGUAAGAGCUUGCUCUUACGGGUGGCGAGUGGCGGACGGGUGAGAAAUACAUCGGAAUCUACUUUUUCGUGGGGGAUAACGUAGGGAAACUUACGCUAAUACCGCAUACGACCUACGGGUGAAAGCAGGGGAUCUUCGGACCUUGCGCGAUUGAAUGAGCCGAUGUCGGAUUAGCUAGUUGGCGGGGUAAAGGCCCACCAAGGCGACGAUCCGUAGCUGGUCUGAGAGGAUGAUCAGCCACACUGGAACUGAGACGCGGUCCAGACUCCUACGGGAGGCAGCAGUGGGGAAUAUUGGACAAUGGGCGCAAGCCUGAUCCAGCCAUACCGCGUGGGUGAAGAAGGCCUUCGGGUUGUAAAGCCCUUUUGUUGGGAAAGAAAAGCAGCAGGUUAAUACCCCGCUGUUCUGACGGUACCCAAAGAAUAAGCACCGGCUAACUUCGU
rnacentral:rRNA from 1 species